rnacentral:misc_RNA from 1 species
GAAAUGCGAUAAGUAAUGUGAAUUGCAGAAUUCAGUGAAUCAUCGAAUCUUUGAACGCACCUUGCGCUCCUUGGUAUUCCUUGGAGCAUGCCUGUUUGAGUAUCAUGAAAUCUUCAAAGUAAAUCUUUGUUAACUCAAUUGGUUUCUACUUUGGUAUUGGAGGUCUUUGCAGCUUCACACCUACUCCUCUUUGUUCAUUAGCUGGAUCUCAGUGUUAUGCUUGGUUCCACUCGGCGUGAUAAGUUAUCUAUCGCUGAGGACACUGUAAAAGGUGGCCAAGGUAAAUGCAGAUGAACCGCUUCUAAUAGUCCAUUGACUUGGACAAUACUUUUAUGAUCUGAUCUCAAAUCAGGUAGGACUACCCGCUGAACUUAAGC